AACGCACAUUGCGCCCGCCAGCAUUCUGGCGGGCAUGCCUGUUCGAGCGUCAUUUCAACCCUCGAGCCCGACUCUUCGGAGGACGGCUCGGCGUUGGGGGACGGCAGACUCCCCCCGGCAUCUCGCCGGGGACGCCGCCCCCGAAAUUUAGUGGCGGCCCUCCGAGGCGACCUCUGCGUAGUAACUUGUUCUCGCACCGGAAAGCUCAGAGCGGCCACGCCGUAAAACCCCAACUUUUUUUAGGUUGACCUCGAAUCAGGUAGGACUACCCGCUGAACUUAA
rnacentral:misc_RNA from 4 species